rnacentral:ribozyme from 12 species
UUUUAUAUUAUAUUUAAAAUUACAACAGCAAAAGAAAAAAAAAAGAAGUUAUACUUCUUGCCAUU